rnacentral:lncRNA from 1 species
UCUGUUAAAUAGGGUUCCAAGUGAGUCUGCAAUUAAGACUCCAUAUGAGAUAUGGAUAGGACGUAAGCCAGCACUUUCACACCUUAGGGAGUAUGAAACCUAAAGCAGUUAAUACAAAAUAGCAUGAUCAUGAUCAGGGAGACUAGGCACCAGGCUCGUGAUCAGAAGGAACAAAAUGAGGGAAUGACUCUGAAGUAGAAUCACGACCACGUCUGUCUCGGUCUCGACUGGAUGAUCUGGUCUGAGUAGAAGAGAUCGGGGGAUGGAAGGCGAUAGGCUGAACAAGGGUAGGCUCAAUGGAUACAAAGGGUCUAGACUGGAGCUGAGUCUUAAUGGCAUCUAGUUGAGAUAAGAUACCUCUCACUAAAACUCUAAGCCCCUC